AGAGCUUUGGCGCAGGCCGCCUGCGCGCUGUGCCAGGAAAGCGCUUGGAGAAAAUGUCCGGCCCCGCGACCUGGGACAGGAAGUGAUGGAGCACGGACUUAGUUUGCCUUUCAGUUCUUGUAUAAAUAGUUUUGAGGGUUGUCUCUGAAUUUUCACUCAGUUGUCUACCAAGAUGUUGAAUGGACCCAGAGCCAAGGACGUGGUCUUUUAUCAGUGGCACCUGAGACUUUCUUCCCUGUGGACGCAAAUCCAUUAUUCAGCACUCUGGGCACAGCUACAGAUCUGAUCAGCUAUCCAUUCUCCAAACUAUCUCAUCCUCUGUCCCAUUUUUCUGUCUCUCUUGUCCACAAGGCAUAUACCUGAGAGUUUUCAAAUUCCUCAGAGAAAUUUAGAUAUUCUGUGGCUUUGGCAUUCACCUAAUGUGUUAAUCUACAAACCUUUUUUACAGUGUGGAUUUUUUUUCAUGAUGUGAAUUCAAGUGGUUUC
rnacentral:lncRNA from 1 species